GUAACGGCGAGUGAAGCGGGAACAGCUCAAAUUUGAAAUCUGGCCUUCGGGUCCGAAUUGUAAUUUGCAGAGGAUGCUUUUGGUUAGGUACUUUCCGAGUUCCCUGGAACGGGACGCCUUAGAGGGUGAGAGCCCCGUACGGUUGGAUACCGAGCCUUUGUAAAGCUCCUUCGACGAGUCGAGUAGUUUGGGAAUGCUGCUCUAAAUGGGAGGUAAAUUUCUUCUAAAGCUAAAUACCGGCCAGAGACCGAUAGCGCACAAGUAGAGUGAUCGAAAGAUGAAAAGCACUUUGAAAAGAGGGUUAAAUAGCACGUGAAAUUGUUGAAAGGGAAGCGUUUAUGACCAGACUUUUUCCAGGCGAAUCAUCCGGUGUUCUCGCCGGUGCACUUCGUCUGGUUGAGGCCAGCAUCGGUUUCCGUGGGGGGAUAAAAGCGGUGGGAAUGUGACUCCUCCGGGAGUGUUAUAGCCCGCCGUAUAAUACCUCCAUGGGGACCGAGGUUCGCGCAUUGCAAGGAUGCUGGCGUAAUGGUCAUCAACGACCCGUCUUGAAACACGGACCAAGGAGUCGAACAUUUGUGCAAGUGUUUGGGUGUUAAACCCUCACGCGUAAUGAAAGUGAACGGAGGUGAGAGCCCUUACGGGUGCAUCAUCGACCGAUCCUGAUGUUUUCGGAUGGAUUUGAGUAAGAGCAUAACUGUUCGGACCCGAAAGAUGGUGAACUAUGCGUGGAUAGGGUGAAGCCAGAGGAAACUCUGGUGGAGGCUCGCAGCGGUUCUGACGUGCAAAUCGAUCGUCAAAUCUGCGC
rnacentral:rRNA from 1 species